UUAUCCACAUUCAGUACCUAGAUACCGUAGGUAGCCCAUCUUCUCCAGUGUUAUCCACAUUCAGUACCUAGAUACUGUAGGUAGCCCAUCUUCUCCAGUGUUAUCCACAUUCAGUACCUAGAUACUGUAGGUAGCCCAUCUUCUCCAGUGUUAUCCACAUUCAGUACCUAGAUACCGUAGGUAGCCCAUCUUCUCCAGUGUUAUCCACAUUCAGUACCUAGAUACCGUAGGUAGCCCAUCUUCUCCAGUUGUUAUCCACAUUCAGUACCUAGAUACCGUAGGUAGCCCAUCUUCUCCAGUUGUUAUCCACAUUCAGUACCUAGAUACCGUAGGUAGCCCAUCUUCUCCAGUGUUAUCCACAUUCAGUACCUAGAUACCGUAGGUAGCCCAUCUUCUCCAGUGUUAUCCACAUUCAGUACCUAGAUACCGUAGGUAGCCCAUCUUCUCCAGUGUUAUCCACAUUCAGUACCUAGAUACCGUAGGUAGCCCAUCUUCUCCAGUGUUAUCCACAUUCAGUACCUAGAUACCGUAGGUAGCCCAUCUUCUCCAGUUGUUAUCCACAUUCAGUACCUAGAUACCGUAGGUAGCCCAUCUUCUCCAGUGUUAUCCACAUUCAGUACCUAGAUACCGUAGGUAGCCCAUCUUCUCCAGUGUUAUCCACAUUCAGUACCUAGAUACCGUAGGUAGCCCAUCUUCUCCAGUUGUUAUCCACAUUCAGUACCUAGAUACCGUAGGUAGCCCAUCUUCUCCAGUUGUUAUCCACAUUCAGUACCUAGAUACCGUAGGUAGCCCAUCUUCUCCAGUUGUUAUCCACAUUCAGUACCUAGAUACCGUAGGUAGCCCAUCU